GAAGUAAAAGUCGUAACAAGGUUUCCGUAGGUGAACCUGCGGAAGGAUCAUUAGUGAAUACUGAGCGUCUCCUUAACGAGAGCUCGACCUCCACUUUCUAACACUGUGCACUAUUUUAUAAGCUUGGUUAAGCCGAGAGGCGGUACCUUGCUUGUUUACCCCCCUUUACAAACAUGAAGUAAAAGAAUGUAACAAAAACCAUAACAAAAAUAAAACUUUCAACAACGGAUCUCUUGGCUCUCGCAUCGAUGAAGAACGCAGCGAAAUGUGAUAAGUAAUGUGAAUUGCAGAAUUCAGUGAAUCAUCGAAUCUUUGAACGCACCUUGCGCUCUCUGGUAUUCCGGAGAGCAUGCCUGUUUGAGUGUCAUGAACUCUUCAACCCGCCGGUUCCUUGUUGGACCGAGUCGGUGUUUGGAUUUUGAGCGCUUGCAGCUUUGUUAUGAAGCUGCUCGUUCGUAAUACAUUAGCAUCUCAAUUUCGAACUUCGGAUUGACUCAGCGUAAUAGACUAUUCGCUGAGGAGCAUUGGGGCAACUUCGGUUGUUUUCGGUGGCCGAAUGUGUAGAUAAGAGUAGAAGCUACCAAUCCUUCUAGUCAAAUUUUUUAGAUUAGACCUCAGAUCAGGCAGGAUUACCCGCUGAACUCAAGCAU
rnacentral:rRNA from 1 species